rnacentral:lncRNA from 1 species
CAACAACCAAAGCAUGAUAUGCAUUUCCAUACAGCUAACAAUCCUUAGAAUGAUGCAUGCCUCUAAGCACUCCUUAGGCGCUGGAUGAUGCAAUGCACAGUACAACAAUCAUCCUAUUUAAAAGUGCUCCCCACACGGAAGCUUUUGUUUUUAAACUCUAAUUCAUUCAUUCAUAAAAACCAUUCGAAAACCUUUUUAAAACUGUUUCCCA